rnacentral:rRNA from 1 species
CAAUAGCGUAUAUUAAAGUUGUUGCAGUUAAAAAGCUCGUAGUUGGACUUCUGGGCCGUUUUGUUGGUCUGCCGCAAGGCUGUACUAGCGGGAUGGCCCAUCCUCUCGAAGGGCUGGGGGUGCUCUUAACUGGGUGCUUUCAGAACUCGGGAUCUUUACUUUGAAAAAAUUAGAGUGUUCAAAGCAGGCAAUCGCUUGAAUACAUUAGCAUGGAAUAAUAGAAUAGGACUUUGGUUCUAUUUUGUUGGUUUCUAGGACCGAGGUAAUGAUUAAUAGGGACAGUUGGGGGCAUUAGUAUUUAAUUGUCAGAGGUGAAAUUCUUGGAUUUAUGAAAGACUAACUACUGCGAAAGCAUUUGCCAAGGAUGUUUUCAUUAAUCAAGAACGAAAGUUAGGGGAUCGAAGACGUUUAGAUACCA